ensembl:lncRNA
CAGAAAUCACUUUGUAAUAAGCAGUAAUGUUACCUGCAAUUUAUCUGUACGUUAUUUGCGUAACUAGUUUAUUACUAUAAGGUCACGUGUCCAACACACACACACACACACAGAGAGACUCAUGGAGAGGUAAUAAGGAAGUAUAAGGAUGUCAAUGGCCAGGCCAAAGGUUGAAAAAAAAGAGAAGUAGCAAUACCCGUGCUUAUUAUUCACCAUGACCUGACAGCAGGGCGUGAGAGAGAGACAGAGACAGACGGACGGAGGGCACUCAACACAGGAGACCCUGUUUAAGUUUAAAUAAUUGAAGAAUCAUUAUUUUAGUGUUAAAAUUACAUCUGAGAAAUAGACGAAAGAGGGUAAGCUGAACCAGAGCUGAAGCGGCCUUAACCAUGAGAGCUACUCUGUGGUUGGUCUGUCUGUGUACAGCUCGUGUGUGGUGUCAAUCCACCUCCAGUCCUGCUAUUACACCAACAAGCGCACCAACUAUAAAUCCAACCACAAUAACUACUGCUGCACCAACUACUACACCAAGACCUCCUCCUCCUGAUGUUACCGAGGUAAUUGUGAAAACCCGCAAUGAGACUCACAUAGAGCUAGAGUGGACCAAAGUCAACAACAUCAACACUUACAUACUGAAACCGAGCGGUGGAACAGAAACCCCCAUCACUGGAUCAGAUGGGAACACAGUGACACACACAGUGUCAUCUCUCUCUGCUGGAACUAAAUACUUGUUCACUCUCUUCACGGUGUUUGAGGGAGUGAAAAGCACAGGAUUUGAGUUCUCAGCAGUUACAGCUCCCUCUAAUGUUGCCCUGGUGAUUGUGAAAACCCGCAAUGAGACUCACAUAGAGCUAGAGUGGACCAAAGUCGACAACAUCAACACUUACAUACUGAAAUCGAGCGAUGAAACAGAAACCCCCAUCACUGGAUCAGAUGGGAGCACAGCAGUGACACACAUAGUGUCAUCUCUCUCUGCUGGAACAAGCAACUCGUUCACUCUCUUCACAGUGUUUGAGGAAGUGAGAAGCGCAGGAUAUGACUUCUCAGCAGUUACAGGUAUGUCUCUUUUUUUGAUUGCGAAAUUUCAAGGAAGUUGCUUUUUUUCUCUGCAACACUUGAAAACCUGUGUCAGCUAGCUCAUAAUAAAUUACACUGUGUGAUGUAUAUCUAGCAUGUCGCCAACAACAUUGUAUUAGAUUACUCAUACUCUACAUUCAAACGCUUGGAAAACAAUGUAUAUGGGCUGAAAACGCGAGCAGUAUUUCAGCUAAAUAAAAAUGUGUCUUUUUUCUUAUCCUUUGGUUAUGUUAGCGUUCAUCUCCGAUGUCACAAUAAAUUAAACUAUUUUUAGAAUAGUCAUAUUUGUGUAAAUAAAACAGAGCUCACUAGAAAAAAUACCAAUUCUUCUGGAAUGGGGCUUUAAAGCACUAAAAGUAUUUAAGAAAUGCAAAUAUACUGCAGACAUAUACUACAUGCAUUUUCUAGCACAGUUUAAAUACACUGAAGAGCACCUUUUUUCAACCUGGGCAAUAUUUAUUUUAUUUGUAUUCCAGAUUCCUCUUGCAGUCUGCAUUCUAAAUGUAUAUCUCUCUUUUCCUAUGACCUUCCAUCUGUCUGUGUUUCUGUCUUGUCC